rnacentral:misc_RNA from 1 species
GAAAUGCGAUAAGUAAUGUGAAUUGCAGAAUUCAGUGAAUCAUCGAAUCUUUGAACGCACCUUGCGCUCCUUGGUAUUCCUUGGAGCAUGCCUGUUUGAGUAUCAUGAAAUCUUCAAAGUAAAUCUUUUGUUAACUCAAUUGGUUUCUACUUUGGUAUUGGAGGUCUUUGCAGCUUCACACCUGCUCCUCUUUGUUCAUUAGCUGGAUCUCAGUGUUAUGCUUGGUUCCACUCGGCGUGAUAAGUUAUCUAUCGCUGAGGACACUGUAAAAGGUGGUCAAGGUAAAUGCAGAUGAACCGCUUCUAAUAGUCCAUUGACUUGGACAAUACUUUUAUGAUCUGAUCUCAAAUCAGGUAUGACUACCCGCUGAACUUAAGC